CUCAGCCUGCACUCCAGAUCAGGCCAUGCUCUCAGCUACCAUAUUCCUUUGAUGGCAUUUGGAGGCUGCUGGUGCCCAGCAUCAAUUAGAGCAAAGAGGGCAAUAAGGGCAGCAGGAGCUCCCUUUGCUUCAGGGGUGUCUCCAGGAGUGGAUGUGCAGAGCAGGUGUGUUCAAUUUGUGCCUGAAGUUGUUGUGUUGUUGAGUUGGUACAAUGGAAUAAAAGUUGAAAUGCUCUGGGUAAAGUGCUGCAGAAGACUGCCAGUGGUAUUUUUUUUAGUUUGUUGAGUAGGUAUGAAUUGUAGGUAGGUAGGAAGGGUGUGCAAGCUUUUUUCAGCCUAAGUUUAAUGCAACAGCUGUGCUGCAUUAGCUUUGCUCUGUAGGCACCUGUGAGCUGCUGGGAGGGGCUGUGAAGCUGUGCCACUGCCUUAAAGGUGCAGGAAGGGUGGGCUUUGUGGUGUGAAUCUCUUUCUCUUCUCCAGGUCUGUGAUGUGAGUUGAGAUGUCCUAUCUGCAAGUUCCCCCCAGCAUCCAGCACAGCUGGCUGGGAGCCCUUGGGCACACUUUGCUGCAGCAGUUCCUGGUCUUUGAGGCUGUGAUGGUGCCAGUAUGUGACAACUGCGUGAGCUUGCAGAAGAACCAGUUCUGCUCAGCUUUGGCUUUUGAAGAGAAGAAAUGAUUGCUGGAGAAGCUCAGCUGGGCAGCAGGCUGCUGCAUUGGGCUGCUGCGUUGGGCACGGUGUAGGAAAUGAAACACACCACUGUGUGGGAUUGCUGCCCUGGGCGAUGGGAGAACUUGGCUUUAAAAGAAAAGCAGAGAUUUCUUUUCCCCCAUCCAUUUGUGCAGAAAAAACCCUCUGAGCGGGGUGUGAUUUCCUCCCUUGACUGAGAUCACCUGCCUCUGGCUCUCAGCUACCACCAGCCCAGGUGUCCAAAAUAAGAUGUGGGUACUCAUUGUGGUUGCUGGGCAAAGCUUGCUCUUCCUCAGACCCAGCCCAGGAGUAUGUUGGGGUGUGGUGUGGUGCAGAGGGUGCCCUGUAACACGUGGGCACUUUGGGCUGGAGGGCUGGGAGCAGCCUGUGGGAUGGGAAGGAGUACACAGCCAUGGACGACCUCAAUGGGACAGAAGGCCUCCCAGACCCUGCAGUGAGGAGAAUGAGCUCAAGCUGGAGGAAGGGCAGCUCUCACCUGCAGAUGCCUCCUCUGAAAAGAAGGGUGCCCCAAGAGUAGGGCCUAAAAUGGGUGAAUCUGCCACUAACUGUCCAUUCCCCAGAGGUAUCAGAAAGAAGUCAGGAUUUUGUUUUCUUUCUGCUUUCAAACUCCAUUGGGAUUUUGUGUGUAGCCCCACUAAGUUAAUGAACACAGAUGGGUGCCAAUAGGAGUUUAUUUUGUGGCUAGGGAUUCAGGAAGAGCUCCAGAGCAGACAAUCCUCCCACCAUUUGCAUUGAAUCAUAGGCUCUUAGAGCCAUUAUGGUUGGAAAAGACCUCUAAGAUCAUCCAGUCCAACCCAGCCCACCCCCACCAUGCCCACUGACCACGUCCCUCAGUGCCACAUCUCUAAGGACGGUGACUCCACCACCUCCAUCACCACUCUUUCUGAGAAGAAGUAUUUCCUCAUAUCCAGGCUGAACGCUGACCUGCAUGGAGCCACCACAUCUUCAGCAGCUCUCCUACUGCAGCUUCUUUUUGUAAUGAAAAACUAUGGGAUUUGCAAAGGAAGAUGAGACUGUCUUCUAUCUGAGCAACAUACUGUAGCAAAUCUGUGGUAGCUCAGUGUUCACCAAGUGGAGAGCACCAGGGCUCCCAGACAGGAGGAUGGAGCUCACUACAUCAAGCACAGCAAGCCAGGAGCUUCUUGAAUUGCUUCUGUUCUGCUGAGACUGGAAUUUUUUGGAGGUAUGUCCUGGUGCUGAUAAAACCUCCCUGAAGAACGUGUUUCAAAUCUAGUAAAUGCUUUUUGCUGUCAGAGCUGGGGAGGAUGAGAAGCAGCCAGAGAUCAGGGCAUGAACUCAGAGUUCAGCAGCAGAGCCCUCUAUCCAUGAUCCCCCACUUGGCAGCCACCAGGCUCACCCCAGCCAGGAGCUGCCUCUGGUUUAUCUUGGGUGAAAAAUGUCAGGUCUCAUCCUGACAGGGAGGGGGAGAGUGUCAGUGAGCACGAGGUGUUGUCUGAGCUGCUUCUGCCUGGCUGUAGUGAUGAGGUGUCCGCAGGUUGUGGGGUGAUCAAAAGCAGAGGGAGAACUUUUCUGGGGCAGGAGGGGUGCUGGCUUGCACCGCAAUGCCACUGUAGAGCAGAGGGCAGAAAAGACCUCUCUGCUGCCCCCAGACAUCCCCACAGCUUUGCUUUGCUCUGCCUUCCAGAUGAUGAACGGCCGCAGUCAGCAGAUAGUGAUGGAGCACGUGGGAAGCCUGAGCAUUAUCAGUGUCCCUGUCCCAGCUCCUUUUAAGUCUAGGGCAGGAAUCUCACAAACAGUCAGAUAUAAACUGGCUGACUGCAGCCGCAUGAGGUGAUGUGGCUCAGCCUCAUAAACCCCUCAGUCUUGCAGAUAUCAGCCCAGGAAAAACUAACCUAUGCCACCAGCCCACUGUGGUGAAGGGAAGAGCUCAUGCAGCUGUGGUCAACCCCACAGCACUUCACGCCCCAAAUGGCAGCAGAGACAUGGGCUCAAGCACCGGCCCUGCAGCACGUUAGGAUGCUGAGCCUCUCUCCUGUUUUCAGGCAGGAAUAAUAUGUCUGAGAGACACACAGAAGUGACCCUCCAAGAAAGCCUGGG
ensembl:lncRNA